AAUUCCAGGACUUGUCUCAGAUUGACUGCAUCAGAGCAGGGCUCUGGGAACUGGUAUUUUUCAAAUUUCCCCAAGUGAUUAUAAUGAGCAGUCUGGAUUGAGAACUAUUAGACUAACGACUUUUAACGAUUCUAUCAUCCAAGGCCUCUGAUUUCUAUAGACAGUUCAAUUUGGGUUAUUAAGAAGCACAAGGUGUAUCUUGAUUCCCUGCAGAGCAACUUUGUCAACAUAUGCAACAGUUAAAGUGAUGUGGGACAAAAUGAUACAACAUGCCAACAGAUUAAGGCAUCAGGUUGGUGAAGGAGAUGCAUGUUCAUCUAGCAUCCUGCAUCACUGAGGAACUCUUACUGCAAGUAAUUCUAUGUGGAGGAGACUGAACCCACUUUCUGUUGGUAGUUGCCCAAGAAGGAUUCUUUACUGAAGUCAGAGACAGCAUAGGAAAUGGAAGAAGCAGCAUGAAGAAGAAAGCAUAAGAACAGGGUGUUUCUUCAAUUGCCCCUUAUUAUCGUGAGUCAUGUUUGACAAAUAGCCACUCCAGAGUUGGGGCCCUGCUGCUGCUGCUGCUGUCGCAAUUAGACCACAUGCCUCAGCUGCUGGUGCAUCAAUAAAUAUUUGCUGAAUGAAUGAACAAGAAGUGCUAUCACCAAUGUGUGUGAACACUGGAGAUGUGCAAGGUUGACUGCAGAGUGACAUGGUGGUGCCCUGAGGUGGUGGGAUCUUGCUCACCCCCUUGGUGUGGCAAACAGGAGCACUGGAAAAGAAGAAAGGAAAUGAUAAAGACACUUGAUUUUAUGCCACUUGGAAUAAUGGGCUUCUUUCCUCAAGAAAGUAUUUAGGAAGUAGAAAGAUAGGUUAGUAGGAAUGCAAGGGGAAAAAUGUGCUUUAGAGCCAAAUGUACUCCCCUGGCUUAGAAUGGAGAUAAAUAAAGGAGUGAUGUAGAUGGAUGAGCCACAGGGAAGCACUAGAUGAUUCAGAGUUGGGAGCCAGCCACCUGAAAUCCUGGGGGGUUCUCGAGGUAGCUUGCUGUUCUGGAGACUUAAUUACCACUGUAACUCAUGACACAUAAUUGCAUGUCAGAUAGGCUAGUUUUCAUGCUGAACUGCAGCCUUUUGGAAAUAAAUGAUGCUUAUUUCUCCUUCCCCUGCAAACUGACCCACCAGAUUUCUGAUAUAUAUCUGGUUCUUUUUUAUCUGAGUUCUUCAACAGACAUAGCAACUGUGAUGUGACUUCACCUAGAACUCACAUAAAACUUAUAGAGCCAUAGUCUUAAAAUUUUAGAGGAGAUUUGAGGUCUAAUCUCAAUUGAAAAAGUCUCCUGAUGUUGAUUAAAAUAGAAACAAGUCAAACUUAAGGGAAUAUCAGUUUUAAAAUAUAUUUAAUAUAAUUUUAAUUUAGGAAAUUUGUAAUAUCUUUUUUUCUAUAAAAAUUUUCCAUCUCCUUUCCUGUUUCACCAUGUUAGAUCCACACUCCACUAUAGUGUGAGGAAUUGUGAAGAGUUUCUUUUGAAAUAGAAAGUUGAAAAUGGAACCUCAAAACAUGUAAAAAACCAGGAAGAAUGUUAUUGCCUAAUUAUGUCAUUGUUUUACUGAACAGAGCAUGAGUAGUCCUAAAUUUUUUACAUCUAUUUUUCCAAUGAGUCAGCCUUCAUUACCCUGUAGUUAUUAAUUUAAAUUUAAAACCAGAAAAGGCUUAUGAUUAUCAAACUCCUGAAUAAGAGAUGUUUUGAAAAAUCAUUUCUAAUGUAGAAAUUUCUCACCUUUUCUUAAAGAUAUAUCUCUUUUGGUCUCCCAUUAACUUAAGAGCAUCUAAGAGGACCUAAGCAAAAGAGAAGUCUGUUGUUGAAGAUUUAUAUUUAUAGUCCUUGAUGAACUGAAUACAUUUACAAGCUGCAUUUUGAAAUCAUAAUAAUCUCAUGUGAAGCAAUCAAAAUUCCAAAAUCAUCUAAUCAAGAAUGACAUCAGAGGCAAACAAUCUCUAGAUGGAGUAGGUAUAAUUCCCUCUGUAAAUCUUCCAUUUAGAGCAGAUGUUCUAAUUCUGUGGAUUAAGUCAAGAAGUGUUGAGAUGAGUUACCCAGCAGACAGUUACUCAGUAAAGGUGAAUUGGUAUAAACUUGAGUUUCCUAAAUAGAAAAGAAGGGGUCAUUCAUGACCCAAGUCUCCAUCCAACAACUCCUACCCAAUCUCUCUGAGUCAGGGGAGGAGAAUUGGGCUGCCAAACAGAACAGAAAGGUCAUUGCCAGAGGGAAAGGAAUUCAUUCAAAGGACAGGCUUCGGGUGAUUAUUUUCUCUUCUCUGAAGGACUCUCCCUAUUCUUCACCUCUCAGCUCUCCCUUUCCUAUGGGAUUGAGAAUAAAAAGAGCAGCAGCAAGUCCUUGCAGCAUUUUCAGUUCCAAAGAUAGAUAUUUUGGUUCAUUGAUCAAGCAAGACAUAUGGGUUUAGAAAUACUGGAGCUGUAUGUUUCGCUUCUGCCUCACAUCAUAUCAUUUUGGUGUUGUGAUUCAAGUGACCUUCUGUGGCGGAAGGUGCUUGUGGAAUGCAUCGACACGGCCCCAGCUACUGCAACAUUUGGGCCCUGGCCCUUGAUCUAGAAACAGAACUCCAAACAGAGCUCCAAAGCUCUGUUGUUAACAGUUUAUGCAGUGUUGUCAGAAGCUGCGUUCAUUCUUUACUGUUUUCUUAUUGCUUUUAUAAUAAAUAUUUACAGAUUUAUUGCAUACUUAUUUUCCAAAUGGAUAGACAUUUUUAGAAGUGACAUUUCUGAAAGUGCAGAAGCUAUCUGGCACAUAUACAGUGUAUCGUACCAUGUGUUUUCUGACAAGAGCAUCAUCGAAACUGUCUUCGUAGUUUAUCUGAUGAAGCUCUAUUGCGAUCCGUUGUAUCAAGUUUAUGGCCCUAUUCUUUUCUUCCUUGCUUUUUACUUUUACAUCUGACAUAGGGAAAAUGAUAAGAUUUUCUUUAUUUCUUAGCAAACUAAUUUGUAAAAGCCAUAAGAACUUCUCUCUCCUUCACAAACACAGGAGAUCCUGCAUUAAACAGCUCGUCUUCUCUGCUAGAGAAUUUAUUUCUAGUCACAUGGUCAAUAUAUUGAAUCUUUUUUCUUAAGGAAAGAGAUAGACAAAAGGAGCAAGACAUGUAGGAAACUGCAAGAUAUCUUAAUGUUUAAACUAUGAAUUAUUUUUUAAAUGCCUUGAUAUUAGAUGCAGGAUGCCACAACAAAAGAAAUCCCUGAAUCAUUUGGGUAUCUAUAGCAUAACAUGAAGAAGCAAGUGGACAUUUUCUCUGACAAACUGUGGAAUAGUUUCAAUAUCGGCAGCAAAUGUGCUUCUGUAUCAUUCUUGGUAUUAUGAGACAGUACAGCAGAGUAGAGCAACACCUUAUUUUUAUGUUAUUGUCAUUUUGAAAAAGUCAAGUAUUUUGCUAUGGAGUAUUCUUUUACUUCCAAAACGUUCAGGAUUUAAAGGAAUAUCUAUAAAAAUAUUCUCAAAAUCUACGAAUAACAUUGUAGCUUCUAUGUGACUUAGCUUCUGUUUGUGAGAAGUUUUUUAGGUAUUUACGGUAACAAUCAAGGUGCCUGUUUACAAUUGUUAACUCUUGAAUUUUUGAAGUUCUAUAGGAAAACUACUUCAUGAUAAUUCUUUUUGACCUAUUCUUCUCCCCAAAAAACCCCAAUGGCAAAGUAAAGUGUGCCACUAGAAGAGAAAGAAGAUUAAAAACAGACCUUAAGGGCCAAGGAUUUAGCUCAGCGGUUCUGCAACCUGCCUCACCUGCCUGGCAAGCGCAAGGACCCGAGUUUGAUCCCCAGUACCAAAACAAACAAACCAAACCAAGCAAAAAAACCCAAAACAGACCUUAAGUGUCUAUUUACAUUAAAAUUGCAAUUAGGAUCAAUGGGGUAGGUUAUUUUAAGGGAGGAGGCUUUGAUUAAGUAUAAGGAAAACUUUCAAACUAUAGCAGCUUUUAACAAUGAAAUAGCCUUUGAAGACAGUGAGACCCCUAUUAAUAAAUGUGUUCACACAGCCUGGUUGAUUACCCAAGGUUAAUUUAGAAGGAUUCCUCCAUCCUAGUCAUUGAUGUCUUAGGUCUCAGUCUCAUCAACUGCGUUUUAAAAGUCAGUGUUCUGUCACCUCACGUGUAUAAUGUUUCAUUAAAGCAGGGUUUCACUGAUUUGGAAUUUGGAAAGUUGGGCUAAAGGUUUUUUUAUAACACUCUUUUUCUUCUUAAGGGGAAUAUAAAUAGAUUAGAGGAAGAUCCUUAAAACUGUUAAAAUGUGCUGCUGUGGUUAGAUGCAUUGAUUUAAGAAAAAUGAUGUGCUACUUGUAAGUCAUCCAUUAAAGUAUUGAUCUGUAUUGUAUAACAUCUCAUUAUAAAGUUGAAACUAAU